rnacentral:lncRNA from 1 species
GGGCCAUGUUUAUAUAUAUAUAUAUAUAUAUUUUUUUUACUUUUGGGUCCUUAUUUAUUUUUCAUUGGGCUAUAUUAAUAUAAAGCCCAUCACAUCUAGCUAAUGAUCAGCCUUUACUCUCUUUUCAUUAUUGAUCAGAAAUUUUACUGCAUUUACGUGUUUCUUUCCUCAGCCAUAAUUCUAUAUUCAUUUUCAGCCACAAAUUUUUAACUUGGCCUUGAAGAACACUCACAAUUCUGCAGCCACAUAUUUUCAAAGUAGAAAACUAUUUCGUGCAGCCCAAGAAUUUAGUCCUAUUUAAACUCAAAUUACCCAAAUUUGUAUACCAGCAAUUCACUCCUCAUUUGUUCACUUCACCAUAUAAACUCAAUCUGCCAUUUCUCACUGCACAUCAUCAAUCGGUACUUUUAAUAUUUUCUGUAAGUUUAAUACUCAUAUGCAAUGAUUUCUGUUUUCUUUGUAAAUUCCCCAAUUUUCAAAAGAAUCAAAAGCCCUACAAUGGAAGAAUAGCAUUUUCAUUAAUUUACAACAAAUUUAGAAAAAUAGAAGAGGUGGAAAGAGGAAUAGGGAUAUAGAAGAGGGCAGUCGGCGCCAUGCGCUGCAUGCGCACACGGCGGCCGGCGGUGAGAAGCCGGGUUGGCGGCCGGCGAUGAAGAAGAAGUACAGCAGCAGCGCCGGAUCUGGGAUGGUGGGAGGCGGCCUGACCAACCGCUGCUCUCCGUCUCGGGGCGGCGAGGGUGGCCACGCUGUCAGCUGAAGAGGGAGAAGGUGAGGGCGGUGUCGGGUAGGAACAGGCGGCGGCUGGCGGAGAAUGACGUCGGAGAAGGAGGCGGCCGCGACUGGGCGCGGUUGUGGGAGGAGAAACAGAGGGAGAACGACAGAAAGGGAGAGAGGUCGAAGGGGGCGAGAGAUGAGGGAAGAAGGGAGAUAGGAAGAAGAGGAGAGGAGGCGGAGCCGCCGGUCUCCGGCGGCGGCGUGUCGUCCGGUGGUGGCGGCAGGCAGGAGGCCGAGAGGGAGAGAGAGGGAGUGAGGAGGGGGGCGUGAGCUGCGUGAGUGUGGAGUGUGUGUUGAAGUUGUAGGAUUUAAGUUAGGGCAAGAGUUGGAAGUUUGGGCUUGGGCCUAGGGUUGGUUUUUAUUUAAUUGUUGGGCUCUUAUUUUAAAUGGGCUGGACUUCAUAUUUUAAAUUGCAUUAUUAAGUUGGGCCUGAUUAUUUUUAUUAAAUCCCAACUCAAAUUUUAAUAAGAGCAUGCAUUUUAUAUUUUGAUUCAUUAGACCAACUAUUUUCCAAAUGAUUUUAUGAUAAUAAAUUCUUAAGAUUUAAACUACUAUUAUUAUUAUUUUAAAGUUCAAUUAGGCCCUUAUAUUUUAUUAUUUGAAUUUAUCUGACUAGGUGCGACGCGACUAGGACAUAACUUUUCAUUGAACUAUUCAAGUCAGUUAUCAAGUUCAAGUUUCAGGUGUGGGAUUUAUUUCAGUACAUGCUGUGGUUAAUUGUUGUCCAUUUUAAUAGUAUGUGUUUGCCAUAUGUGUUGUAAAUUCAGUUAUAUCGCUAGGGGCCCGCUCAAUGGGUCCAGGACUUCACAGUCCUUGGUAUGCCACAAUGCGAUUUCAUGUUACAGUUAUGGUUGCAACCUAUUCGCCAGGGGCCUGCUCAAUGGGUCCAGGACUUUAAAGUCCUUGGUAUGCCACCGUGCGAAUUUCAGUUAUCAGUACAGUGCAGUGCGUAUGUGUUGACCAUUUUAUUAACGUGGACAAUUAUUGCAUGUUUCCCACACUGAGUAUAUUCUGUAUGCUCAUCCCAUAUUAAACAUUUCAGGUAUUUUGACGUUGGAGACGCGUGGAAGGUCGAAUGGGCGCAUCGAGAUUCAAGACAUUUAUCAAGUAGUUGAUUUGAUUUCCAACUAAUUUAAGUAUUUAAAGUUUUGCUUAGCACAAGUUUUACCUAAUACCUGGAUAUUUUGAUGACAUCUUUAUGUCAUGCUUUGAAAUAAGAGGUUGAUUGUCGAUUUUUUUUUAAAUCAAAGUUAGCCUUUGAGUACAUUAUUUUAAAAGUUUAAUUUUUUAGGGUUUGCUCCCUUUGAAGUGUUUUCAAAAUAUUUUAUUUAAAAAUUUAUUUAUUUGAUAAUAAAUCCAAAUCUUUAUUUUAUGAUAUUUCCGCUGUCAAAAAUUAUGUACAUUCAUAUUUUAAUACGUUAAUUAGAUUAGGGUGUUACAGCAUGGUAUCAGAGCAGGUCUACUUUCCUGUAGACUCUGCAAAAUAAAAUUUUUCUUAAAAUGUUUCAAGUCAAGUGUGACAAGGCCAUUCGACCACUACGCGCUCCGACGUCAAGGUAAAAGUUAUUUUAAAAGUUUUCAAGGGGAUGAGUAUAAACUGUUUAUAUUCCGAAUUUAUGUUAAACUUGCUGCAAUAAUUGAAGUUAUGAUCAGAAAGUUCAAGUUCAUUAUUCAAGUUAUUAUGAGAAAGUUCAGUAUACAAUUCAUCAUGUUGAAGAUUAUUGCAGCUAUGAUUUUAUUUCGGAAUAUUUCAGUUCAUGAUAUUGAAUUACGGGUUUUGAAAUAUUUAUUUUGAACAUCGUCCUCGAAAUAGGAAUAACCUAGAAAUUUUCCUAGAAAAGCUUUGACCUAUAUCCUCUCAAUUCGUAAGUGCGUAGAAACCUAUAUAAAAUGUCCCUGAAUAUAGAUCCAUAAGAAGUACGCAUGCCUAUUCUCGUAGCUAGUGUAGAGAACACUAGCACGAACUACAAGGACGAAGCUAAGCAAAACAAACUCGUCAAACUAGUGGAUGAGAUUUCAAGAAUCAAUUUUGAGUGCAUUACGAGGAUUUGUCCAAACAACAAACCCAAGCUCAGGCUACGCGACCUAAAGUCAACUCAAAUGCUUAACGCGAUGGAUAGUGCUGUCGAAUGAACUACAACUCGCAAUGAUUCGAUAGACCUGAUAGGUAAUUAGCAGUUGAAGAAGGGUUAGAGGAACUAGAACGAGUUUUCACUCAUCUCAAUUGUACCAACGGACAGAAAACAUCAUAUGUUAUCUUUCAACUUGUGGAGGAACUCUGAAACGACGAUAUCUGUGAUGAAAGCAAUGGAGAUAUUAGAUCAAUAUUCUAGGAAGCGCCGUGUAGUAAACAUUGAAGGAAAAGAAGACGAAGAACUUCCCCUCGAGAGUGUGCUAGUGGUACAUGAUUUUUCCUCAGCGUCACCUUGAGGAUCUCGCUUGAAUAUCGCUGCUAGAUAGACAAGUAUAGUUCACGAUCGAUCUAGUACCUAGAGUUGCACCUAUUUCAAAGCAUCAUAUGAUGGCGCCAAAAGAAUUGAAGAAUUAAAUACGCAAUUGCGAGAGCGUUUAGACAUAAGGUUUAUUGUCCAAGCAUGUCGUCCUGGGAAAUGCCAUUCUUAAUGGUCAAGAAGAAAGACGGAACGAAUGAUGUGUGUGUUUAUUGUUUGGGCUAGAUCGACUCACCAUCAAGAGAAAGUACCAUUUGCCACGGGUAGAAGAUUUACUCAAACCAAUUAGAAAGAAGUAGACGUGAUUUCGAAGAUCGACUUGAGAUUGGGUUGCCAUCAAAUUAGGAUAAAAUAGAGUGAUAUAUCGAAGACGACUUUCCAGAUAAGUUAGUCAUAGUUUUCAUCAACAAUAUUUUGAUAUACUUAAGUAACGAUGUGUGACGUGAUGAAUAUUUCAAGAUCGUCUUAUUAACUUUAUGGANAUUUUAAUAAUUUGUGAACUUGAAAAAAAAUUGUGAAAUAAGAUGUGAUAUCGCUUGCAAAAUUAUUACAUAUACUUGAAGACAAUGUAUUAUAAUAUAGUAUUGAAGUUGUUGGGAACUUAAUGAAAUAUCCUAAUCCUAGUUUUGAUGAUACCAAAAUCAAUAGGUUUCAAUUGUAAUAGACUAGAAUUGUUCGAACUCAAGUGUUAGAGUUCUUUUCUAGUUUAGGUGCGGUUCUGAAGACUGGAGAACGAAGGACUGAAGACUGAAGAUGCCGACUGAUGUAACGAUUAAGGCAAAGUCAAAUACUGAUAUUUGACUUAUCAGUCGAAGGAUCAGUUUCGACUGAUUACUUAAUGCAUGCCACGUGGAUUCAGCGGACUGAUACUAAAGUCAAGUAUCAGUUAAACAUUCUUCCUCGGACUGAACCUCCAACGUUCAAAGGAAGCCACGCACUCCAGAAGUACAGCCGCAUUAAAUGCAGAGAUAUCAGUAUCGUCCUUUCUCUGCAGAGGCCAUUCCUUUUUUGUGAUUAUCUUUUCAGAGAUGUCGCAUCUUCUGCUCUUCAAAGUAGCGGUUUGCACCAAACAAGGAACCUCGAAGAUUGAAGCCUCAGCCCAAGUUCAAAUUACUCUCUAACGGAAGAAAUCUUGAAGACCAUCUCCGCCAACGGAUCUAUUCAAGACGUCUCCUAUAAAUUGCGCUCGAGGAUCACUUCAAUCUUCACCGAUUCAACAACAUAAGCUGAAACGCUGCCGAAUUCGUUACUCAGCAAAAUCAAGCCUCCCCAAAGUUUGAAUCGAAGAAGAUAAUUACAAAGCCAAAUAUCAGUCACUGCUGAUUACAUACAUUCUCUUAGACCCUUAGGCAAAUAUUGUAUAUCCAAAGCCUAGGUAAAACUGACUGCAAAGAACUUGUUCUUUGUGGUUUAGUUGGCAAGUUUUCAAACCUCUCUUCAACCAACCGAAUUGAGUGUUUGUGUGGAAAAUGAGUUCAGACCAGUGUUCUAUCUCCGUGAGAUCUUAGUGCCUAGUGUGUGCUAGGAGUGAGAAAUCCAACCCAAUGUGUUGGUACUGAAGAUAGGAUCUUCAGUCAUCUCAGUUUGUGUGCACCUGCAAGCACACGUUCAGGUUUGAUGUGCACACGUAAGCACACGCAUCGUUUUGCAGUGCACCCGUAAGCACUUACCCAGUGAAGUUGUUGGUCUGAUCAACCGACCGUGGAUGUAGGAUGUGUUUUCCGAACCACGUAAAAAUUCUUGUGUUAUUUACAGCUUUCAGUACUUACUUUCUUACUUGUGCUCUUACGUUCAUAAACUGAAAUCUGAUUAAUUGCAAAGAAAAACUUAACGAUUGACAACGUGUUUAAUUUCACAGGCUAUUUUGAAAUAAAAGUUUUCCGAUGCGUGUGUUAUCAGUCUAACUGAUCUAUCUUCAGAUAGUCAGUAAGAUUCAUAUCAUCUCUAUGUUUAUCAAACUCGACUGAAGCCUUACGUUUAUCAGUUAAAGUCUUUGACUUAACUGAUAACUCCUUACUGAAGAGUAUUCAGUAUCAGUCGUCAACCCUGUUUUGACAAAACUCUUUUCAGUAAACAGGUUGAGUCAGUUUGUAUUUAAAGUUUCGUUUUAACUAAGUAAAAUAGCCUAUAGGUGUAUUCCCCCACCCAUACACCUAUUCGAGACCCUCCGGACCUAACAUUAAGUUAUAAUUAUAAGAUUCUUAAUAAGAUGUGUAUAUUGACGUAUGAAUCAGAUGAUUUGUUUGAUGAUACAUUAAUCUAUGUUGGAUAACUACUUAAACUCUUGGCUUGUUUUAUUAGCUAAAGUUCUUUAUUAAUGAAGUUUCAUAUUUUCUUAUAGUCUGGUUGAAAAUUGAUGUUGUGACACAUAUUGCUAAAAAGGGGUCAUUAUCUGACAUUUAUGAAACAUGAAUUUGGAAAAUUUGAUUGAAGUAAACGAAACUUUUGAGGCGAAUAAUCAAUGUUUAAAUUUUCAAUAUAUAUUUAAUUUUAAUAUUUUUGUAUUAUUAUCUUUGACCAACUUAUUAGAUGAUAAAUAAAAUAAAAAAGGUUAGAAAAAAUAAAUAAAUUGCCGACGGCAAAUGUUGUUGGUAAUUACCAUUUGUCGUCUAGUAAUUAGCGGCGGCGGCACCACCGUCGGUAAUUUUGGCCGGACGGCGGUGCUGCUAUCGCUGGAUGUCACCGACGGUGGUGAUUAGCGGCGGCCACAUGCCGCCGGUAAAUAGCGACGACAAUUGCCGUCAGUAAUAAAUAAAUAUUAUUAAAUUAAUUAAUAAUAAAUAUAAAAUAAUAUAUAUUUAAAUUAGCGACAAUUUCAAAAUACGCGUAUUUCAUUUAUUAUAAUAGUGAAUACAACUAAAGUAAAUAAAGUAAUUAUUCGUAGAAUUUUAAUAAAUUAAAUAUUAGAUUAUUGAUUGAUUAAUUGAGAUGAUUGAUAAUAAUGGUGGUGUAAAGCACUCGUAACUAGGGAUGUCAAUACAUUCUGAGUUCCGUGGGCCGCCCUGAUUCCCGCGACCUUCACGAGUGUUAAAGAUGAAAGAAGAAAACGAUAGUUGAGUUUGUCAGGAAGCUCAUUUACCGUCGAUAGAAUUCACGAAUAAUAGCAGUUUUCCAACUACUAUCAACAUAGGCUCUAUACGAGGCAUUAUAUAGGAAAAAGUGUAGGUCAUCUUUACAUUAGGGAUGUAUUUGGCAAACGAUAAGUGUUAGGUCCAAAAAAAAAAAAAAAUCGUGAAAGCAACCAUCGAAGUAAUUGCGAGACAAAAGGAUCAAAAUGGCACGGGACCGAUAGAAGAAAGAAGUUCUAUUUCGACGUUCUAUUUCAAGGUUGGCGGAAGUAUUCUCCUUAAGUAGCACCGAUAAAUAGAGUCCCGUGGUUCAGAAAGAAACGAAAAUUGAGACCUCGAUUUAUAGGUUCGUUUAAAAUUCGAGAACGAAUAUGAUGAUGUAGCCUACCGUCUAGCUUUCACGCUACAACGGUCAGCAGUACAAAUGUGUGUCUCGAGGAUUGCGAAAUACUUGCACGAUUUCAGCCACAUCAUUCAUCAGCGUACAAAAGAGAAGUCAAUCAGUAUACUAGAUCAAAAGUACAAGCUUUACGAAGUCAAGAAGCACCGAUAGUCAAAUAUAGAGUGAACUAGGCACGGACCCCAAGAAACUACAUGAGAAUGAGAAGAGAAAUCCUAGCUCAUUAUUCCCAUUUAGAACCUAUUAAGUUAAAUUUCGAGGACGAAAUUUUUUUAAGUGGGUAGGUUUGUCACAGCCCAAAACCGUUUACUUCCUUUGCAAAUUUUAUUUGGAAAUUAUUAUAUUUUUGAGUUAUUUAUAUAUAUAUUUAUGAGUCGAAUUUAUGAAUAUGUCUAGUCGCGCCACUAGUUGGAUAGAUAAUUUUAAGUUAUAAAUUAUAACUUUAGCAAAUAAAUACUUUUAUGCUCAAAAUUGGGCCUAAAUAAAUAUUUUCAUAAUUGGACCUUAUUAGGCCUUAUUAGGCAUCUAUUUUCAUUUGGGCUUGAAUUGAAUUAGAGCCCAUAAAUUUUAGCAGAUUUCCUUCUCAACAGCAAUUACGUGCCUUUCUUUCAACCACAUUUUUAUGUUUAUUCCUCAGCCACAUUUCUUUAAUUCUUGAGGAGCACGCAUCAUUUUAAUUUAAUAGUCUUGGGCAUCAUGAAAUUCAAUCAAUUUAAAGUUUAUCUACCAAUUUCCACCGCCAUAAUUUUAUAAUCAUUCACGCCUAUAUAUAUAUAUAUACAUCAGAUUCAUCAGCCUUUAUCAUUUUUCACCUUCCUGUGAGACCUCAAACUUGCUCAGCACAUCUCUUCGAUCAUCUCCUUCUAUAGAGCUUCAGUGGGUAAAUUUAUUUUCUGUGAUUUUAAAUCAUCACAGCAACUCUAUUUCUCAUCUUUUGUGUUGUGCAGAAACAAUGAGUAAUUUCUAUUCUUGAAUCAAAUUCAGCAUACACAUGCUUCUCUAAUCCAACAAUUUUCCUAAAUCAUUCAUUUAAUUCAUGAGGAAAAAAGAUAUUGUAAAAAUCAUGUAGAAAACAUAAAAAUGACAGAAAGGGGUUUGAGAUGAAUUGGGUAAAGGCUGUUGUACGGGAAGAGGGUGAGUGCCGCAGGCGGCGCCCUCGCCGGGGGAACUGUGAACGGCGCCGGAUCUAGAGAAGGGAGGAAGACAGCGACGAAGAGUCGCCGGAGAAGGCGCGGCCGCGGCUGCGGCUGAUGCGGCGAGGACAGGGGCAGGGGAGGAGAAAGGGAGAGAGGAAGAAGAGGGAGAGGAGGCGGAGCCGUCGGUCUCCGCCGACGGCGCUGCCGUCCGGUGGCGCGGCGGCAGGAGGCCGAGAGGAAGAGGGCCGAGGGAGGAAGGGAGAGAGGGAGUGAGCAGCUGUGGGUGUGUGCGUGAGUUGUGUGUGUGUGUUGGGUGUGAAAGUCAAAAUGAGGUUUUAAUUAGGGGAGUUGGAAGAGUGGGCUUGGGUUGGGCCUAGGUUGAUCUAUUAAUAAACUCAUACACAUAUUUAAGUGAUUGAGCCCAAAUUUUAUAUAUCUUUUGGACUUCAUAUUUUAAUUUUCAUUAUUAAGUAGGACUUGAUUUUAUUAAAUCCCAACUCAAAUUUUAAUAAGAGCAUGCAUUUUAUUAUUUUGAUUCAUUAGACCAAUUAUUUUCCAAAUGAUUUUAUGAUAGUAAAUUCUUAAGAUUUAAACUAUUAUUAUUAUUAUUAUUUUUAAAGUUCAAAUAGGUCCUUAUACUUUUAUUAUUUGAAUUUAUCUGAUUAGGUGCGGCGCGACUAGGAUAUGGAUUUUAAUUGAAUUACUCAAGUUAGCUUUCAAGUUCAAGUUCAAAGUUUCAGGUGUGGGAUUUAUUUCAGUACAUGCCGUGGUUAAUUGUUGUCCAUUUUAAUAUUAUGUGUUUGCCAUAUGUGUUGUAAAUUCAGUUAUAUCGCUAGGGGCCCGCUCAAUGGGUCCAGGACUUCACCGUCCUUGGUAUGCCACAAUGCGAUUUCAUGUUACAGUUAGGGUUGCAACCUAUUCGCCAGGGGCCUGCUCAAUGGGUCCAGGACUUUAAAGUCCUUGGUAUGCCACCGUGCGAAUUUCAGUUAUCAGUACAGUGCAGUGCGUAUGUGUUGACCAUUUUAUUAACGUGGACAAUUAUUGCAUGUUUCCCACACUGAGUAUAUUCUGUAUGCUCAUCCCAUAUUAAACAUUUCAGGUAUUUUGACGUUGGAGACGCGUGGAAGGUCGAAUGGGCGCAUCGAGAUUCAAGACAUUUAUCAAGUAGUUGAUUUGAUUUUCAACUAAUUUAAGUAUUUAAAGUUUUGCUUAGCACAAGUUUUACCUAAUACCUGGAUAUUUUGAUGACAUCUUUAUGUCAUGCUUUGAAAUAAGAGGUUGAUUGUCGAUUUUUAAAUCAAAGUUAGCCUUUGAGUACAUUAUUU